rnacentral:rRNA from 1 species
GCUCUCUGGGUGGCGAGUGGCGGACGGGUGAGGAAUACAUCGGAAUCUACUUUUUCGUGGGGGAUAACGUAGGGAAACUUACGCUAAUACCGCAUACGACCUACGGGUGAAAGCAGGGGAUCUUCGGACCUUGCGCGAUUGAAUGAGCCGAUGUCGGAUUAGCUAGUUGGCGGGGUAAAGGCCCACCAAGGCGACGAUCCGUAGCUGGUCUGAGAGGAUGAUCAGCCACACUGGAACUGAGACACGGUCCAGACUCCUACGGGAGGCAGCAGUGGGGAAUAUUGGACAAUGGGCGCAAGCCUGAUCCAGCCAUACCGCGUGGGUGAAGAAGGCCUUCGGGUUGUAAAGCCCUUUUGUUGGGAAAGAAAUCCAGCUGGUUAAUACCCGGUUGGGAUGACGGUACCCAAAGAAUAAGCACCGGCUAACUUCGUGCCAGCAGCCGCGGUAAUACGAAGGGUGCAAGCGUUACUCGGAAUUACUGGGCGUAAAGCGUGCGUAGGU